GUAGCAUUCGUGGAGCAUCUGGGAGCUCGCAAGAUCGGCACUCUCAGUGUGAGAUGUAGUGGCGAACGGGUGAGUAAUACGUGAGUAACCUGCCCUUGACUCUGGGAUAAGCCUGGGAAACUGGGUCUAAUACUGGAUAUGACCUCCUGUCGCAUGGUGGGGGGUGGAAAGGGUUUGUACUGGUUGUGGAUGGGCUCACGGCCUAUCAGCUUGUUGGUGGGGUAAUGGCCUACCAAGGCGACGACGGGUAGCCGGCCUGAGAGGGUGACCGGCCACACUGGGACUGAGACACGGCCCAGACUCCUACGGGAGGCAGCAGUGGGGAAUAUUGCACAAUGGGCGCAAGCCUGAUGCAGCGACGCCGCGUGAGGGAUGACGGCCUUCGGGUUGUAAACCUCUUUCAGCACGGAAGAAGCGAAAGUGACGGUACGUGCAGAAGAAGCGCCGGCUAACUACGUGCCAGCAGCCGCGGUAAUACGUAGGGCGCAAGCGUUGUCCGGAAUUAUUGGGCGUAAAGAGCUCGUAGGCGGUUUGUCGCGUCUGCUGUGAAAGCCCGGGGCUUAACCCCGGGUGUGCAGUGGGUACGGGCAGACUUGAGUGCAGUAGGGGAGACUGGAACUCCUGGUGUAGCGGUGAAAUGCGCAGAUAUCAGGAAGAACACCGAUGGCGAAGGCAGGUCUCUGGGCUGUUACUGACGCUGAGGAGCGAAAGCAUGGGGAGCGAACAGGAUUAGAUACCCUGGUAGUCCAUGCCGUAAACGUUGGGCACUAGGUGUGGGGGACAUUCCACGUUUUCCGCGCCGUAGCUAACGCAUUAAGUGCCCCGCCUGGGGAGUACGGCCGCAAGGCUAAAACUCAAAGGAAUUGACGGGGGCGCGCACAAGCGGCGGAGCAUGCGGAUUAAUUCGAUGCAUCGCGAAGAACCUUACCAAGGCUUGACUUACACCCGAAUCGGCUUCACAGAUGAAUUUUUCCUCCUUGUGGUGGCUGGUGUUCCUGUUG
rnacentral:rRNA from 1 species